rnacentral:rRNA from 1 species
AUUGAACGCUGGCGGCAGGCCUAACACAUGCAAGUCGGACGGUAGCACAGAGGAGCUUGCUCCUUGGGUGACGAGUGGCGGACGGGUGAGUAAUGCCUGGGGAUCUGCCCGAUAGAGGGGGAUAACCACUGGAAACGGUGGCUAAUACCGCAUAACGUCGCAAGACCAAAGAGGGGGACCUUCGGGCCUCUCACUAUCGGAUGAACCCAGAUGGGAUUAGCUAGUAGGCGGAGUAAUGGCCCACCUAGGCGACGAUCCCUAGCUGGUCUGAGAGGAUGACCAGCCACACUGGAACUGAGACACGGUCCAGACUCCUACGGGAGGCAGCAGUGGGGAAUAUUGCACAAUGGGCGCAAGCCUGAUGCAGCCAUGCCGCGUGUAUGAAGAAGGCCUUCGGGUUGUAAAGUACUUUCAGCGGGGAGGAAGGCGGUGAGGUUAAUAACCUCACCGAUUGACGUUACCCGCAGAAGAAGCACCGGCUAACUCCGUGCCAGCCGCCGCGGUAA